rnacentral:rRNA from 1 species
UACGGAGGGUGCGAGCGUUGUCCGGAAUCACUGGGCGUAAAGGGCGCGUAGGCGGCCCGGUAAGUAGGGGGUGAAAUCCUGCGGCUUAACCGCAGGGCUGCCUUCUAAACUGUCGGGCUGGAGCACGGUAGAGGCAGAUGGAAUUCCCGGUGUAGCGGUGGAAUGCGUAGAGAUCGGGAGGAACACCGGUGGCGAAGGCGCUCAUCUGGCCCAAUACUGACGCUGAGGCGCGAAAGCUAGGGGAGCAAACGGG